rnacentral:lncRNA from 1 species
UGAAAAGAGAGCUUAUUGUACCUCACGCACAGCAGCAGGUUUAACAGAAAAGUAGACAUGUUUAUAGUCCCAGAUUUACAGCACACCUUAUAAACACCUUAUUACUUAGAAUCCAGUCUGCUGUCCCAGAAACUAAGAAUGUGACUUUGUUAAGCAGUAGGAUUUGUUGACAUAAAUGUCUUGACUAAGUUUGCCAUUGUGGUUAACCAAAACGCAUUUACUCCUGGGAAAGUAAACACAAGCAAACAAAAUGCCUCUUAUACUACAAUACGGGGUGGGAUUAAUUAUUUGUGGUGACCAAGAUUGGCAGCUGCUCUUAUGGGGCCAUGUUGGGAAUCCCUAAGGAAUGAGAGGGUUGAUACUCUGUGGAACAUGACUUUUAAAGGUUGCAAAGUCCAAGAUCAAGGGACUGGAAUCUUAUGAGGGCCUUCUGCUAUGAGAGUCACAUGGCAGAAGGGCAAGAGAAGACAAGAGAGAAUGCAAGAGGAGGAAAAACUCAUCCUUUUAUGAUGGCACUAAUUCCACUCAUGAGGGUGUAGCCCUAAUGGCCUCAUCACCUCUUAAAGGACCUACUUCUUACUUCUGUUACACUGACAAAUUGCAACAUGAGUUUUGGAAAGGACAAACAUUCAAACCAUAGAAUUAUGCUCCUGCCCACCCCCACCUAAACUCAUGUCCUCACACACAAAAUACAUUCGUUGCUUCCCAGUAG